UAGGGAAUCUUCGGCAAUGGGGGGAACCCUGACCGAGCAACGCCGCGUGAGUGAAGAAGGUUUUCGGAUCGUAAAGCUCUGUUGUUAAGGAAGAACGAGUGUGAGAAUGGAAAGUUCAUGCUGUGACGGUACUUAACCAGAAAGGGACGGCUAACUACGUGCCAGCAGCCGCGGUAAUACGUAGGUCCCGAGCGUUGUCCGGAUUUAUUGGGCGUAAAGCGAGCGCAGGCGGUUAGAAAAGUCUGAAGUGAAAGGCAGUGGCUCAACCAUUGUAGGCUUUGGAAACUGUUUAACUUGAGUGCAGAAGGGGAGAGUGGAAUUCCAUGUGUAGCGGUUAAAUGCGUAGAUAUAUGGAGGAACACCAGUGGCGAAGGCGACUCUCUGGUCUGUAACUGACGCUGAGGCUCGAAAGCGUGGGUAGCAAACAGG
rnacentral:rRNA from 1 species